GACGAACGCUGGCGGCGUGCCUAAUACAUGCAAGUGGGACGCAAGGAAACACACUGUGCUUGCACACCGUGUUUUCUUGAGUCGCGAACGGGUGAGUAACGCGUAGGUAACCUGCCUAUUAGCGGGGGAUAACUAUUGGAAACGAUAGCUAAUACCGCAUAAUAUUAAUUAUUGCAUGAUAAUUGAUUGAAAGAUGCAAGCGCAUCACUAGUAGAUGGACCUGCGUUGUAUUAGCUAGUUGGUAAGGUAAGCGCUUACCAAGGCGACGAUACAUAGCCGACCUGAGAAGGUGAACGGCCACACUGGGACUGAGACACGGCCCAGACUCCUACGGGAGGCAGCAGUAGGGAAUCUUCGGCAAUGGACGAAAGUCUGACCGAGCAACGCCGCGUGAGUGAAGAAGGUUUUCGGAUCGUAAAGCUCUGUUGUAAGUCAAGAACGUGUGUGAGAGUGGAAAGUUCACACAGUGACGGUAGCUUACCAGAAAGGGACGGCUAACUACGUG
rnacentral:rRNA from 1 species